GACACACACAGACACACACAGGGGACAAAUGAAAACAAUAGGGAUGAGGGAGGGGCAGAGCCGGAUCAUGACAGUUUGCUCCUAUUCAGCCACAAGCGAAGCGAGGUCGGCCACUGAUGUUGGAUGAUAAGGCCUAGCUGCAGUCAGCGUUCCAAUUAUUAUAUAUUAUAUCGGAGAUGUUAGAUGGGCUUGAUGUCAAGUCUCUGUGCAGGUAAGCUGUCCAGAUGCCAAAGCCAAUCUCACUCGGACUCCUAUCCAUACUCUCAGAUCCUAUUUGGAUGACUGCCACUGAUUCCCUGCACGUCAACACAGCAUCAGGUGCGUGACUGUGUUUCGACUCAUCCCUUGCCCAACUUGAAUUUUCAUCCUCAUGACUGCAGGCUGCUGAGUGGCAACGGCUGGCCGAACAUCGGGGCUCUGCCAGGAUCCUGACACAGGCUGCAGAUGUGACACAGGGUCCCCUCACCCUUGCUGGCAUGGGCCCCCGCCUGGCCAUCUGGUGCCUCUAGAGCAGGUGCCAGUCACUCAUCACACCCGCCCGCCUGCCUGCCUGCCUGCAAGACACGGCCCUCCGCUGAGGCCUUCGGACCGGCUUCACAGCUCCCGCUCCCACCUCUUCACUUCCCGUUCGCCAAUAGACCACGUUGAGCUCAUCAGAAGUCCACUCCUCAUCACAUCCAGAUCUUCAGCAUUCUCUUCAUCCCAUCACCACCACCAGUGUCUACACUCCAUCGGGAGGGUUUCCUAUUCCAGCUACGGCUUCGCCAAAGACUAUUCACAUUUCCCAUAUUCAUUUUGCACAUGUCAAUAAAUUAUUUGUUGACUCAGAAUGAAGUCUCUCCUGACUGAGAUACAGAUGCAGAACCCUCCCACACUGUGCUCAGCAGGAAACCCAGUGAGAUACUAGCAUUCCAGCACAUGUUACUAUCUUCAUCUUUCUGGUGCUCUAACACCCUGUGUAUCUAACCUGCUCUUCAGAGAUAAAGAGAAAGAGACCGUAUGCACGCACACACUCGCUUACAUACCAACACGGCAAUAAAUGUCAUAGCACUCCCUGUCCUCCCCCUCUUAGAUAAAGGCAAGCACAGAAAAGCCCCUAAGAAAAUAUAACAGGGGAAUGCAUUUGUAAUGUUUGAUAGCAUCAGCAUGGAGAGGACAAUAGAGAUGCACGAGGAGCGCUCAAGAGGAGCAUUCACAGCAAAUGCGUUUCUUCAGAAGGCGUACAAACACACCAUAUGAUUCAUCA